rnacentral:rRNA from 1 species
CCUACGGGUGGCAGCAGUAGGGAAUCUUCCGCAAUGGACGAAAGUCUGACGGAGCAACGCCGCGUGAGUGAUGAAGGCCUUCGGGUCGUAAAGCUCUGUUGUCAGGGAAGAACAAGUGCGGGAGUAACUGCCCACACCUUGACGGUACCUGACCAGAAAGCCACGGCUAACUACGUGCCAGCAGCCGCGGUAAUACGUAGGUGGCAAGCGUUGUCCGGAAUUAUUGGGCGUAAAGCGCGCGCAGGCGGUCCCUUAAGUCUGAUGUGAAAGCCCCCGGCUUAACCGGGGAGGGUCAUUGGAAACUGGGGGACUUGAGUGCAGAAGAGAAGAGCGGAAUUCCAUGUGUAGCGGUGAAAUGCGUAGAUAUUGGGAGGAACACCAGUUGCGAAGGCGGCUCUCUGGACUGUAACUGACGCUGAGGCACGAAAGCGUGGGGAGCGAACAGGAUUAGAUACCCCAGUAGUC